CUAUGGGAUGCAGCAGUGAGGAAUAUUGCACAAUGGGGGGAACCCUGAUGCAGCAACGCCGCGUGGAGGAUGACGCAUUUCGGUGUGUAAACUCCUUUUAUAUGUCAAGAAAAUGACGGUAGCAUAUGAAUAAGCACCGGCUAACUCCGUGCCAGCAGCCGCGGUAAUACGGAGGGUGCAAGCGUUACUCGGAAUCACUGGGCGUAAAGGACGCGUAGGCGGGUUGGAAAGUCAGGUGUGAAAUCCUACAGCUUAACUGUAGAACUGCACUUGAAACUUCUAAUCUAGAGUAUGGGAGGGGGAGAUGGAAUUAGUGGUGUAGGGGUAAAAUCCGUAGAUAUCACUAGGAAUACCUAAAGCGAAGGCGAUCUCCUGGAACAUUACUGACGCUAAGGCGUGGAAGCGUGGGGAGCAAACAGGAUUAGAUACCCCCGUAGUC
rnacentral:rRNA from 1 species